CCCUUAGAUGUCCUGGGCUGCACGCGCGCUACACUGAUGUGUCCAGUAAGCACCUAACCUAUUCCGAGAGGAGCGGGUAACCUUAGCAAAGCACAUCGUGAUGGGGAUAGAUUAUUGCAAUUAUUAGUCUUGAACGAGGAAUUCCUAGUAAGCACAAGUCAUCGGCUUGUGUUGAUUACGUCCCUGCCCCUUGUACACACCGCCCGUCGCUCCUACCGAUUGAAUGUUCCGGUGAGCUCUUCGGACUGCGCGGUCUGCAGUUUCUGCGUUCCGUGCGGAAAGUUGUGCAAACCUUAACAUUUAGAGGAAGGAGAAGUCGUAACA
rnacentral:rRNA from 1 species